rnacentral:rRNA from 1 species
UGAGGAAUAUUGGUCAAUGGGCGCAAGCCUGAACCAGCCAUCCCGCGUGCAGGAAGACGGCCCUAUGGGUUGUAAACUGCUUUUCCAGGGAGAGAAACCUGCGCACGUGUUGCGCAAUUGACGGUACCCUGGGAAUAAGCAUCGGCUAACUCCGUGCCAGCAGCCGCGGUAAUACGGAGGAUGCAAGCGUUAUCCGGAUUCCUUGGGUUUAAAGGGUGCGUAGGCGGACUAUUAAGUCAGUGGUGAAAGCCUGCAGCUUAACUGCAGAACUGCCAUUGAUACUGAUAGUCUUGAGUUUAGUUAAGGUAGGCGGAAUGUGUGAUGUAGCGGUGAAAUGCUUAGGUAGUACACAGAACACCAAAUGCGUAGGCAGCUUACUGAGCCGACAAUGACGCUGAGGCACGAAAGCGUGGGGAUCGAACAG